rnacentral:tRNA from 1 species
GGCGGCAUGGCCGAGUGGUAAGGCGGGGGACUGCAAAUCCUUUUUCCCCAGUUCAAAUCCGGGUGUCG